rfam:Oryza glumipatula chromosome 11, whole genome shotgun sequence.
AAAAAGACAAACCGUGGGUUCCCAUGCCAACGUUUAACUGUCCGUCUUAUAUGAAAUUUUUUUAUAAUUAGUAUUUUUAUUGUUGUUAGAUGAUAAAACAUGAUUAAUACUUUAUGUGUGACUUAUCUUUUUAAUUUUUUUCAUAAUUUUUUUAAAUAAGACGGACGGUGAAACGUUUGACACGGAAACCAGAGUUUGUCUUUUUU